rnacentral:rRNA from 1 species
UGAGAUGUUGGGUUAAGUCCCGCAACGAGCGCAACCCUCAUCCUUAGUUGCUAUCAGGUAAUGCUGAGUACUUUAAGGAAACUGCCAGUGAUAAGCUGGAGGAAGGUGGGGAUGAUGUCAAGUCAUCAUGGCCUUUAUGGAGUGGGCUACACACGUGCUACAAUGGUGUCUACAAUGGGUUGCAAGGUGCGCAAGCCUAAGCUAAUCCCUAAAAGACAUCUCAGUUCGGAUUGUACUCUGCAACUCGAGUACAUGAAGUUGGAAUCGCUAGUAAUCGUGGAUCAGCAUGCCACGGUGAAUACGUUCUCGGGUCUGGACCACACUGCCCGUCACGCCAUGGGAAUUGGUU